AAAAAGAAAAGAAAAGAACUCCUACUAUACGUCUUCAUCAUCAUUGUUGUUGUUGUUCUUCUUCUUCUUCUUUCUUCUUUUUGCUUA
rnacentral:ribozyme from 14 species